GGCACACACCUUUAAUCCCACCAUUUGGAGGCAGAGGCAGGUGGAUCUAGUUGACUGUGUCAACAUUGUCCUCAGUAAACAGUAUUGCUGAGCAACCCUUUCCUUCUCUGCAUUAGAGGGUCACACUUUGUCUGCAUGGACCAGGAUGUUGGUCUCUCAUUGGUUUUGGAGACCUGUUGUUUUGCAGAAAGACCACUGUUGAGUUUUGGUUUUGCUUCUGAAUUACUUAGAGUUUCUCAUAUUCUUUUUUUUUUUUUUUCCGGAGUUGGGGACCGAACCCAGGGCCUUGCGCUUGCUAGGCAAGCGCUCUACCACUGAGCAAAAUCCCCAACCCCGAGUUUCUCAUAUUCUUAUUACAUACAUUAGAUGUUUUGAAUUGCAACUCCAUAUUGCUUAUCUUUUCUCCGUUUUAACCAUUUCUAACAGGUUUUUCCUCUAUGUUCUGUCAUUUAUGCUGGGUUUUGUUUGUUUUACUCUUUUUAGAAAGCUUUGCUCUUUGCUUGUCUAGUGUUUUUAGUGGUUGUCUCAUUAUUGUCCUCUUUUUGUUGUGCAUUAAUGACAUCUCCCUCUGUAUGCAGUCUGGCCUGAAACCUGCCUCAGACUUCCAAGUGAGGAAUUACAAGCCUUUCCCACUAUCCCCAGAUUAAUUAGGAGUGGAGUUGAUUUCCAUCAGUUUGCUUUAGGUCUUUGUUGAAGAAAG
rnacentral:lncRNA from 1 species